CGUCUAUAUACGUAUAGCAUAUCAAUAAGCGGAGGAAAAGAAACUAACUAGGAUUCCCUCAGUAACGGCGAGUGAAGCGGGAAGAGUUCAAAUUUGAAAUCUUCAAGGUUCUACCUUGACGAAUUGUAGUUUAAAGAAGUGUUUUCUGUUGGAGUUUCGGUAAAAGUUCUUUGGAAUAGGACAUCAUAGAGGGUGAGAAUCCCGUAUUUGACCAUUAUUUCCAACUUUGUGAUACACUUUCAAAGAGUCGGAUUGUUUGGGAAUGCAGUCCAAAAUGGGUGGUAAAUUUCAUCUAAAGCUAAAUACUGGCGAGAGACCGAUAGCGAACAAGUACCGUGAGGGAAAGAUGAAAAGAACUUUGAAAAGAGAGUUAAACAGUACGUGAAAUUGUCAAAAGGGAAGCGUUUGACACCAGUGUUGUUUUCUCGAAAAUCAAUUAAAAAUGGCAGGAUUUUGUGUUGUAUUGACUUUAUCAGCUUUCUGCACUUUUUUCCUGUCUUUUUUAAUGCACUUUUCGUUUAACAAGUCAACAUCAAUUUCUUUUGUUGUAAAAGAGUCAUUGGAAGGUGGCUUUCUUUUCGGAGAAAGUGUUUAUAGCCUUUGACUUCUGCAGUCGGAGAGAUUGAGGUCUGCAGCGUAGAUCCUUCGGGGUUAGAUACAUUUGUGCUAAGUUAUAGCCUUUCAUAGACAACUUGUUGACUAUGAUCAGUCAUGUAGCUUACUCGCUUAUGUCAUUUUACCUACGCUUAGGAUGUUGACGAUCAGCUGAGCGCG
rnacentral:rRNA from 1 species